AUCCAUCCAGCUCGGGGUCGCACUUCACUCCUCUCCCUGGUCAAACCCGAUGAAGGAAGGACAGAGGAGAAGAGUUAGAGCCGCCGUGAAAACACACAGAAAAGUCCAUAAAAGGUGCCUGGAGUCGGUCCUGUCUUCUCAUUACUAUCUUUAAGAAGUUGUUGUUGUUCGGUGCACCGUGCGGCUACAGCCGGGGACGCUAGCUAACUCGCAGUGCGGGACAAACCUCGAGCAGCCGGGCAAUCCGUCUUCCUUUUAGGGGAGUGUCGACAAGGUGCAGCCUCUGCGGGCCAGCGGACACACUGAGCCAAUCACAUCCGCCUGUUCUGCCCUUAAACCCCCUCUCCAAGUUUCAAAUUACAACUCAAUGUGCAGACUUGUUCGACGACGACCGUCUUCGCGGCCCACAAAGUAGUGGUGCACAACGCCGUGUAAAAGGGGCUUGAUUUGCGGCUAAGAUCACAACAAUAACCUCUCUGUGAAGGAAAAACCUGGAGAGAAAAGCAGUGGCAUCCCCCCCCCCCCACUAAGCAUGUAAACAGGAGGUUGUUGCCGUUGAAACUCUGCAGGCAGGAUAAGAGUUGGAUUCAGAUCCCAUUGGUCUCACAAAAUGCGGAGGGAGUUAACCCGCUUCACCCGACUGUACCCCUCAUAGUGCUGGAGGUCAGGAUGGGUGGUUGGUGGAGAAACGUCAGGACUGUGUCCAGAGACCAGGAUUUGCAUCCUGCAAAAACACUUUGGUUAAGGUUAGUGAAAGAUGGUGGCUGUGGUUGAAUGUUAAUAGGCACGUAAUGAUUUGUGCUUCAAGUCGCUACAGACUUUUUCUAUAGUUAACCAAGACCAUCAUCUCUCCUAACCUCAACCAAGUGCUGUGAGAGACUUAAUUCAGCCAUAAAAAGUAGAAUAACGCUGAAGUCACUACAAGCAGAUAUUGCAUUGCAAGGUUGUUGUUUAUCUGGUGUUUAAC